rnacentral:rRNA from 1 species
CUGGGUCAGAUUGAACGCUGGCGGAAUGUUUUACACAUGCAAGUCGAACGGCAGCAUAGGUGCUUGCACUUGAUGGUGAGUGGCGAACCGGUGAGUAAUACAUCGGAACGUGUCCAGUCGUGGGAGAUAACGUAGCGAAAGUUACGCUAAUAUCGCAUACUAUCUACGGAUGAAAGCGGGGGACGUUAAGGCCUCGUGUGAUUGGAGCGGCGGAUGUUAGAUUAGUUAGUUGGUGGGGUAAAGGUUCACCAAGCGGACGAUUUAUACCUGGUCUGAGAGGAUGAUCAUCCACACUGGGACUGAGACACGGCCCAGACUCCUACGGGAGGCAGCAGUGGGGAAUUUUGGACAAUGGGCGCAAGCCUGAUCCAGCCAUUCCCAGUGCAGGACGAAGUCCUUCGGGUUGUAAACUGCUUUUGUACAGAACGAAAAGCCUUGGGUUAAUACCUUGGGGUCAUGACGGUACUGUAAGAAUAAGCACCGGCUAACUAUGUGA